rnacentral:rRNA from 1 species
CCUACGGGUGGCAGCAGUAGGGAAUAUUGCUCAAUGGGGGAAACCCUGAAGCAGCAACGCCGCGUGGAGGAUGAAGGUUUUCGGAUUGUAAACCCCUUUUGUUAGAGAAGAUAAUGACGGUAUCUAACGAAUAAGCACCGGCUAACUCCGUGCCAGAAGCCGCGGUAAUACGGAGGGUGCAAGCGUUACUCGGAAUCACUGGGCGUAAAGGGCGCGUAGGCGGGAUAGCAAGUCAGAUGUGAAAUCCUAUGGCUUAACCAUAGAACGGCAUUUGAAACUGUUAUUCUAGAGUAUGGGAGAGGUAAGUGGAAUUCUUGGUGUAGGGGUAAAAUCCGUAGAGAUCAAGAGGAAUACUCAUUGCGAAGGCGAGCUGCUAGAACAUAACUGACGCUGAUGCGCGAAAGCGUGGGGAGCAAACGGGAUUAGAUACCCCUGUAGUC